UUAAGCUCUGAGCCGGUUUCUGCAGGCUGCCCCAGGGCUGCUCGGUCCCCCCGCUCCUGUGCCCUGGCCCCAGGGCCUCUACGUGAGUAAGGAGGAUACAACCGGGAGACAGAACGGUAACCAGGGCUUUUUAAUCUCUGCACAGAAAACGCAGAAGGAGCUACAGGAGGCCGCGGCUGGGGCACACUUAGCUGGGGGGGGGGGGGUCUUCGGAGGGUUUUUUCAGACUUCCCUCUAGGUCUCUUAUAUUUAGGGGUACCUGAGAAGCAGGACACUUCUCUAAAACAUGCUGAGUAACAAGGGACACCCAUCACGGAGGAACGGAACCGGAAAGCCCGGCUCAAUCCAAGAGGACACACACAGUGUCCUUCCCCGCGAUUUCGGCAGAGCAGGGGCCAGGACUGGGCUACCUCAGCCUGGGGGACGCACACGGUCCGGGGGGGGGGGGGGGGGGAGGUGGACACGGGAGGGGGCCCCCACA